CAGACGAUGAAGUUGGGGUCUGCGCGGCGGUCCCAGCACCUCCCCGCAGGCCCGGGCCUGAGCUCCCCGUGCCCUGCGGUGGGUCUGACCUCGCCCAGGGCUCUGAAGACCCAAAUCCAGGCCUGUAACAAGCGUCCAGAGCCAGACUCGGAGAAGGACGGGGCUGGCGGGGGCCUAGGAAGGGGCUGCACCGGGCUCCCGGCAGGGCUGGGGCAGGGGCACUGACUGUCUCUACACCCUCAGGUCGUGGCCGCUCUGCAUUAUUUCUUCCUGAGCCACCUUUGGGGUUCACGCUGCUGCUCUUUCUACAUUUCCUGAGCGAGAGGGUUAACCCUUCCUUGGUCUCCGCCGUGAACACACGCAGACGAGGCCGUGGGCCCCCCUCUCCAGCUGCAGUUCAUCAAUUUUUGUAAAUACCCUUGUGGGCUACCUUUAUGUGUAACAGUCAAAAACUGGAAACACUCGAAAUGCCCGUCAGCGGGCAGACGGACGAACAGCCUGCGGUACAUCUUUGCUUGGAUACGGCUCAGCAGCGAAAAGGGAGGAACCACCAAUUCAAGCGACAGUACGGAUGCAUUGCAAGGUCAUUUCUUCCGAGUGGAAGAAGCCAGUAAAAGUGUAGGUUCUGUAUGUUUCCACUUACGUGAAACUCUGGAAAAUGCAAACUUAUCUGUAGUGACAGCAGCCGUUGUGGGGAGAGGGGUCCAAGGAAACUUUUUGGGUGACAAACACGUUUACUUACCUUCCUCGUGAUGGUUUCAUGGACAUACACAUACUUAAAACCUGAACAAAGUGUCCACAUUAAAUGUGUUCAGUUUGCUGUAUGUCAGUUUUGCCUCAGUAGAGCUGUUGGAAAGGAUUUCCCUGUGUGCUUGGUGAGAAGCGUCCGUCCUAAGGCUGUUGAAUGCAGUGCCCUCUCCAUACCCAUGUUAUUCAGAUCUCGCUGUCCUUAUGGAUCAGCACCCCUGCUUGUACUGUUAUCUACUGAGGGAGGUGUAUAAAGUAACCCCACAGGGAUUGUGGGUUUGUGUCUCUUGUGGUUCUGUUAUUUUUGGUUUGGUUGUUACAAGGCCAUGUUAUUAGUCACAUACAAAUUUAAAAUUCUUUUAUGUUCUUGAUGGAUUGAUUCUACUAUCAUUCUCAAAUAAUCUUUUAAUCACUGGUAAUUCUUAUGUCUUCAAGUCUGUUUGUCCGAUACUACUAUAACGUUCAUUGGGUUAGUAUUACCCAGGGGAUCUUUUUCUUUCCUUACCUCCUAACACUUCUUUACCCUCUUGUCUUAAAUAUUUCUCUUAUAAAACAGCGUAUGAUGGAGUUUUUAAAAGUCCUGUCUGAUCAGCUUGUUAUUUUAAGAGGUGCAUUUAGUUAACUUUAUUUAAUGUAAUAACUAAUAUAUUGGGGUUUAGAUGUACCAUCUUAUUUUGUGCUUUAUAUUUUCCCCACCUGUUUUUACCUUCCUGACACUUCCUUGGAUUAUUUUUCAAUUCAUCAUUUUCUUUGUACUAAUGUGUAAUAAAUAUAUGUA